rnacentral:lncRNA from 1 species
UUCAAAUACAUCUGAAGCAAACUCCACAAUGUUUUCUGUAUUAACAUGUAUCCAGAUUAAAGAUUCAAUCAUAAACUUUAUUUAAAUGACUUUUCUCUUCCCAACACAGGUCUGAUCCACGGUGCUAAGGAUCUGAAGUGUGAAGUGAGACCUGGGUCUUCUGGAUUUUGCAGUUCUCUGCUUCAUUAGGACCAGGAACUUGUCUGAGCCCAGAGAGAGCCUGAGUGGUGACGUUCAAAGGGAGAAGAUAAGCCUGGACUUCUUGGAAAGGAUGUUAGAGGAAGACAAGAAUCAUAUUGAAUUUAUGGCCCAGGCAAAUUGCAUAUGACCUCAUCUUAACUUGAUGACAUCUACAAAGACUCCAUUUCCAGCUCACGGUGAAGGAACCCUGAGAGGACAGAGCUAUGUGAUGGAAUGAGCCAGGAUCCCUGAGUCCUCACCUAGAGAAGAGAUGUGCAGAAGAGCCACUCAACAGAUGGUGGUGUGCUGAUAAACAUUUAGUGACCCAUUUGGGGUAUGGGGAAAGGCUCUAGUCAGUAACAUUUGUUCAUUUCUGUUAUGUAUACUCCCAGUAUGGCUGCGUUUAGACAACCAAGGUGAUGUCACUGAACACAGUUUGGAAUGGAUGCACAUAAUCAGUUCUUAUGAUGCUGGAUGAACCAACCCCAGCACACCACUGCCCCCAACCCACAUGUAACUGUGUCAUAAUUUUAAUUUAAAAAUAAACAUAUUUGGUUAAGCCUUUGAGAUUCAUUGGGGAUUGUUUGUUAUAGCAACUAGAUAGUGUUAACCUAGCUAAUAU